rnacentral:piRNA from 1 species
AGGCAUCAAAAACAUCCUCUGAAGGAGCU